CCGGGAUGGAGCAGUCUGGUAGCUCGUCGGGCUCAUAACCCGAAGGUCGUCGGUUCAAAUCCGGCUCCCGCAACCA
rnacentral:tRNA from 1 species